rnacentral:lncRNA from 1 species
AAACAAACUCUGCAGUAUUAGGAGAGAAGCCGUUCAGUUCCACUGCCUGCUCUGUGACAGUUGCUAAUAUAAUAUGACAGGUGCCUUAGGAGACCCACUAUUAUUUUUUUCACUUUACAGAGGAGGAAAUGAGGAUGAAAGAGAUGUCAACUGACUGGUCCACCAACAUCCAGCUGGUGAAUAGCACCCAGGCCUUGAACACUUCUGACCGGAAGCACUCCUAUCUUCCCCUCUGAACAUUACAGUUUAAAAAUUAAAGAAUGGAUCAACUCAGGCCACAAAGGAGUAGGAUUAUAUAAAGAUGAUGAUGGAGACUGAAAUAAAUUCACUUUUGUCUGAAAUAACGGUCACAAAGAGCAAGGAGUUCAAAAUUCACAUUUUGAUUUAAGUCUCUGGCUAUCAGGGUUAAAAUUAUAGCAUUUAAAAUGCCAGAGUUAAGAGAAAAAAAGGAAAUUGCUGUGUAAAGUUAGCAAAGAAAAGAGGACCAUUAAAACAGCAGGAAUGAAUCAAACCCAGAGAGCAUGAAACAAGAAGACAUCAGCCGGCUCAAACUUACCAGUUAUGACUGUGGGGAGAGGCCAAGCCUCCCGGCUCCCGUUUAACUAUAAAUCGAGACAAAGUGACAGAAAAAGGUUGGGAGUAAAAGACAGAGCAAGGAGUUACCUUAAAAAUACAAGUGAAAAGCGGCCAAGGAC